rnacentral:lncRNA from 1 species
UCAAUCAGAUCCUAAAUGAUCUCAAAUUCUUGGCCCAAAAUUUGAGUUGAUUGGAAAAAGGUUCACUCCAAAGGACAAUGUGGGGUUUCAUUAUAGAAGAAGUGGGGUUCAUGGAGUUAUGUUUUUUGGGGGCAGUUGGAAUCCAUGGUGAGGGCCACAUAUAUAGUUCUGUUGGACUUGGAAAAAAUAGAAAAAAAAUUAUUUGAUCUAGCUAUCUCAGUUCACAUAUUACUUUUUAUAGUGAUAUUUCAAAAUUACAUGGUAUACUGAGAUUAUGAAAUUUUAUAGCAUGUAUAUACUUAUAAAUAUGUAUCUAAAAAUUCUAAUCAUCACUGUUCACCAGAGCCGGCUUAAUGAUAAAGUCAUUGCUUUACAGGAAAUUGCCUGUCAUAGAUCCAUAUAUGAGUGAUCUUAGAUAUUUGAUCCCAAAUAAAAUCAAAUAAAAAUGUCUUUGAAAAAUAGUCUUUCUUACUUUUUAAUAUACUAAAAGUACCAUUUUACCCCUCUACACCUCAAAUAUAUUUUUAGACUUUUCAUACUCAUUUAUCUCUCAAAUUUUAUUUUUAUUAUUUUCACUUUUUAUUUUUCCUUUUCUUUUAUUAUUCUACUUUAUUUUUAUUAUUUUCACUUUUUUAUUUUUCCUUUUUUAUUAUUCUACUUUAUUUUCGGUUUUUAUUUUUUUUCUUUAAAUUUAUUAUUCUAUUUUUUAUUAUUUUCACUUUUUAUAUCUUGGACUUUGC